UAGCAUAUCAAUAAGCGGAGGAAAAGAAACUAACAAGGAUUCCCCUAGUAACUGCGAGUGAAGCGGGAAAAGCUCAAAUUUAAAAUCUGGCGGUCUUUGGCCGUCCGAGUUGUAAUCUAGAGAAGUAAUGCCCGUGCUGGACCGUGUAUAAGUCUCCUGGGAUGGGGCGUCAUAGAGGGUGAGAAUCCCGUCUUUGACACGGACUACCAGUGCAUUGUGGUAUGCUCUCAAAGAGUCGAGUUGUUUGGGAAUGCAGCUCAAAAUGGGUGGUAAAUUCCAUCUAAAGCUAAAUAUUGGCGAGAGACCGAUAGCGAACAAGUACCGUGAGGGAAAGAUGAAAAGAACUUUGGAAAGAGAGUUAAACAGUACGUGAAAUUGCUGAAAGGGAAACGCUUGAAGUCAGUCGCGUUGGCCAGGGAUCAGCCUUGCUUUUGCAUGGUGUACUUUCUGGUUGACGGGUCAGCAUCAAUUUUGACCGCUGGAAAAGGGCCUGGGGAAUGUGGCAGCUUCGGCUGUGUUAUAGCCCCUGGUCGCAUACAGUGGUUGGGAUUGAGGAACUCAGCACGCCGCAAGGCCGGGUUUCGACCACGUUCGUGCUUAGGAUGCUGGCAUAAUGGCUUUAAGCGACCCGUCUUGAAACACGGACCAAGGAGUCUAACAUGCCUGCGAGUAUUUGGGUGGAAAACCCGAGUGCGCAAUGAAAGUGAAAGUUGAGAUCCCUGUCGUGGGGAGCAUCGACGCCCGGACCAGAACUUUUGGGACGGAUCCGCGGUGGAGCAUGUAUGUUGGGACCCGAAAGAUGGUGAACUAUGCCUGAAUAGGGUGAAGCCAGAGGAAACUCUGGUGGAGGCUCGUAGCGAUUCUGACGUGCAAAUCGAUCGUCAAAUUUGGGUAUAGGGGCGAAAGACUAAUCGAACCAUCUAGUAGCUGGU
rnacentral:rRNA from 1 species